rnacentral:rRNA from 1 species
UUUCACUCUUUCGGAGCAAUCUGGAAAUGUUGGGCGCCACUGGCAUGUAAAAUCUUCAUGUGGCUGGCAGUGCAAUAUCGACUGUGGACGUCGGACAGAAGGGCUAGACACGGUUUGCAAGACCAAACGUCUAAAUGCUACUUUUGUGAUCAAGAGGAAGACACAGUCGACCACAUCUUGCUGCAAUGUGUGUUCUCGAGGCAAGUGUGGUACCUGUGCAUGUCGAGGAUGGGAUUGAGAGUGGAGCUUUGCCCAACAUAUGGAUCCCAUUUGGUGCAAUGGUGGACGGAAGCUAGAAAGCGCAUACAAAAGCAAACUCGGAAAAGAUUUGACACAUUCGUGAUGCUCAUUUGCUGGACACUCUGGAAACAGAGGAACGCAAGAGUGUUCGGAUCAAACCAUAUCAAAAAUGAAUGGGAGACG